rnacentral:rRNA from 1 species
AUUGAACGCUGGCGGCAUGCCUAACACAUGCAAGUCGAACGGCAGCACGGCAGUAGCAAUACUGUGGGUGGCGAGUGGCGGACGGGUGAGGAAUACGUCGGAAUCUGCCCAGUCGUGGGGGAUAACUAGCCGAAAGGUUAGCUAAUACCGCAUACGACCGAGAGGUGAAAGCGGGGGACCGCAAGGCCUCGCGCGAUUGGAUGAGCCGACGUCGGAUUAGCUAGUUGGAGGGGUAAAGGCCCACCAAGGCGACGAUCCGUAGCUGGUCUGAGAGGAUGAUCAGCCACACUGGAACUGAGACACGGUCCAGACUCCUACGGGAGGCAGCAGUGGGGAAUAUUGGACAAUGGGCGCAAGCCUGAUCCAGCAAUGCCGCGUGUGUGAAGAAGGCC